CGACCUCCGAAGCUUAGCAAAUUAAACUGGCUUGUUCAUUUACAAAGAGCAGAGUACUACUAUUUUCAAACCUUUUACCUAUGAACAAAAGAGAGAUCUACCCAUGAAGCCUAAAAUUUCACCGUUUUGUUGAUUUACACUUAGCCGAUACGCCGCUUCCAUUGAGAUACGGCUCGAAGGUU